UCCACGCAUGCCCGCGAGCUUGAAAGUCUCAAUGCUGAGCUCGAUUAAAAUCCACAAACUGGUGUUUGCAGACUGCUUUUACAUUAAUCUGUUUCCAUACUAUGCCGGCUGAACAAUUGCUGUGAUUUGUCUCCGACGUCUCUCUGCUCGGGCGCAAUGACGUCACCGACUGUAUCUGACUGUGUGGAGCGCGUGCUCUGAGCACAUGGAAAAGCUCUCCAGACAAAGUGCCCAAAGAAUAACUCCAAACCUGAAAUGGAAUACCUGCACAAUAGAAUUACAUUUGAAGCAAAAGAGACCUUUAGAACAGCUGCUAGUCAGCCUGUCGUUCUCUUGUUGGAUGCCUGAAACUGGAGCCACAAAUGAAUGCCAAACAUUUCAGGAAAAUACCUAAAUGCUCUUCCUCCAUUGAGCCAACAGCUUCAUGCCAUCAUAGUGAACCAUGCUGGUCUUCUGUGAAGUGAUGGGGAUAUGCUGUUGCCUGCAGACAGCCGGCUUUUACACGAUCAACCCAUCUCAUUGGAGGACUGUAAUGCUUCAUCAUUAAAGACAACAGGAGGGGGCAAACAAACUUGUCUGUUUACACAGAUGGGAUCAUUUAUGUGGUAUAAUUGAAAAAACAAGUGCGAGAGGGGAGGAAGGACAACGCUCAAGUGGAGAGAUGAUAAACAGAAAACACAAGUGUGGUGUGGAAGUGUGAAUGUUAGUUUAGGAAAAGGAAAGAGUGCCAGGAGUCUCACCGCAAGACAAUUGUUUAUCUUUAGCUGCAGUUCGUUCUCUGAUUCAGCUCAAAUCACAUUUUGAGAUCGGCGACAGUAGGUCGAAGGUUUUGCUGCUGAUAUCUGGAUGUCUCAAAAUCUUCUUCAACUAAAUGAAGAGAAAACUGUGAUUUUGAUCUUUGGACGAACUGUAAGCAGUAUGGCUACAGAGGUCGGGCUGGGUCCCUGGGCUGGAAACGUGCAAAAUCAAGUCAAAAACCUAGGUGUAGUUUUUGAUUCAUCACUGAAAUUUGAUAAACAGAUAAAAGCAGUAGUGGAGAGUUUUUUUUAAUUUUUUUUAAUUUUUUUUUUUAGGAUUAUUUCCAAACUUAAACUGAUUCUCUCUAUGAUUUAGAAAUGUUUUAGAAAAGGAUAUUCAUGCUCUUAUCUCUUCGUGGUUGGAUUAUUGUAAUGUUAUUUAUAAUGCGAUAUGUCAGGCAUCUAUCUCAAGACUUCAGCUGGUACAUAAUGCUGCAGCGAGGCUACUCUUGAAUGCUAAAAAGAGAGACCAUGUUAUGGCAUUAUUACUCACUCUUCACUGGCUACCUGUCCAGUACCAGGACCAGUUUAAGGUUUUAGUUUAUGUUUUUAAGGCUGUUCAUGGUAUGGCACCAGAUUAUGUUAGAGAACUGAUUAAACCAUGUUAUUCGGGUAGGAAACUACGAUAAACCAAUAAAUUGCUUCUAAAUAUUCCUAGGAUGCGUCUUAAGCAAAAAGGUGAUCGUGCAUUCUCAGUUGCUGGUCCAAGGUUAUGGAAUAGUUUACCUGGGGAAAUUAGAGCCACUACAUCCAUUGCUGUUUUUAAAUGUCGCUUAAUAUCUUAUCUGCUUUCUAUGGCUUUCAAUUAGAGGUCUUCAUGGGUCCACCCUAACCCGAGGACCCAAGACCCGACCCGGGACCCGUAUGGGUUCGGAUCCAUGUUUUAUACGGUCAGCUGUGUCCGGGUUGGGUUCCAUUCUAUUGCUGUGGGUCCCGGGUCUGUUUAACAUUAUGUGUAAUACCCGAGUCGAUCCAAGAAGACCCGACCAUAAUCAGACUGCGCUGAUGAUGAUGGUGUUGUGUGUGUUGCAACUUGCAACAUUAAUAAGGAAAUAAGGUGAAAAACGGAGUGGAGCCACAAUGAGCUGAGUGACAUCAGAGGCAGAGAAGAGUCAAGGCACAUGAUAGAAAAUUAGUAAUGCUAACGUUAGCAGCCGUGGCAAUGAAUGAGCAAUUGUUAUUAUAGUGCAAAAGGGCAAACAGUCUAAGUUAUCUUAUGCAAGAUACAAAAAAACUGCAAAGCUGAUUCUAAACAAGUCACGUUUGUCAUCCGUCACCGUGACAGCAAGUAUACUUUUGAAGCUGAAAUAAUGAGUGGAUUAGUUAUGCUGUUUCAAUCAGUAAGAGAGGAAUCACAGAAAACCUGGAUGUAUUUUACCAACUUUCUUGGCAAGGAGGAUGGAUUAAAUGCGUCACGGCCAGGCACAGGGGAGAAGGCUACUAACGUUUCAUUAGCAUGAACAGCUGAAAUAGCUUUUGGCGCCACUCUGUGGCCAUUAUACCUGGAAAAUGGAGCUCACACAUGCACAAUCACCCAAUAACACUUACCGCUUUGUCCACUGGGGGCAGUGUUAAGAAUUUCGGU